rnacentral:lncRNA from 1 species
GAAUGAUGGUUCCUGAUAUUGAUGCUCUGAAGUACCAUACCAUCCCAGGUUAGGAUUCCUCCACCCAGGAUCGUCCCUAUAACCAUACCGUAUAGGGGAGAAUUUGUCAAGAAACUGAUGCUCAAGAUCUUCCCAACUGGUGACGGAUCCCGGAAUAAGACAACAACACCAAUCCCUUGUCGCUCCAUGUAAUGAGUACUCAAAUGCCCUUAAGAACAUGUCUUCA